UGGGGAAUAUUGCACAAUGGGCGCAAGCCUGAUGCAGCCAUGCCGCGUGUAUGAAGAAGGCCUUCGGGUUGUAAAGUACUUUCAGUCGGGAGGAAGGUGUCAAGGUUAAUAACCUUGGCAAUUGACGUUACCGACAGAAGAAGCACCGGCUAACUCCGUGCCAGCAGCCGCGGUAAUACGGAGGGUGCAAGCGUUAAUCGGAAUUACUGGGCGUAAAGCGCACGCAGGCGGUUGAUUGAGUCAGAUGUGAAAUCCCCGGGCUUAACCCGGGAAUUGCAUCUGAUACUGGUCAGCUAGAGUCUUGUAGAGGGGGGUAGAAUUACAUGUGUAGCGGUGAAAUGCGUAGAGAUGUGGAGGAAUACCGGUAGCGAAGGCGGCCCCCUAGACAAAGACUGACGCUCAGGUGCGAAAACGUGGGGAGCAAACAGG
rnacentral:rRNA from 1 species